AAAAGGCUUGCCAGUUUCGCUUCGACUGCUGCGUAGUGUGGACGGAGAAUUUAUUCGUAUCGAAUUUCGAAUAUAAUUUAAAAUACAUAUAUUUCAUCAAUUUAUAUGCGUUUUAUUUUUAAUUUUUUAUUUAUACUAUAUAUAUUUAUUCGCGAGUGUAACAAUUUUGCAUUCUAUUUAUGAGCGUUAAUAUAUUUCAUCCCUUUCAUGAAUGAAUAGGAAGUUGUUACAAAACAAGAUAAGUAGCUGAUUAUUGAGACUAUUGAGACUAUUUUAUGGAGAAAAAAUUUCAAUAUGGAUACCAUAAUGAUAUUCUACAUUUUAUAAAGAAGAGGUGGCCGCCAUUAGUCCGAGUUUUCCACUAGGCAGGGAACUAGGCAGCUUCGUUUCUUCGCCGGGAUAAUUAUUGAAUGUAGCGUGGAGAAGACUUUGGAGAAGAGAGAGAGAGAGAGAGAGAGAGGACCUCAUAACUUAUAUCUCUAAUGAGCUUACGCUGCUUGCGAUGUUUUAAUGAAUACUAAUGAACUCGAAGAUUUUUCUCAUCCCGAAGGGAAAAGUGCGGAUCCGUCCCAAGUUUUUUAACCGAGAAUAAUUGGUCCUAUUCUUGGCCGAAAGAUUUAUAUAUGAUGGAAGAAAGAAGAGAGCGAGCAAUAAGCAUUUUUUACAAUUUAUAAUCGUCCUUUCGUUACGCGAUAUCGAUCAUGUUGUCCUUUUCCUUAAUCUUUGUCGAGUCGAUCAAAAGUGAAAAGAAUGCAAGAUUUCAAAUAAAAUUUUAAUCGAUUCGAAUUUUUCAUUUCAGUCCAGCAAGAAUUAGGAGAAAAGGAACUGUAAAAAAAACAACAAUAAAGAAACAAAAGUCAAAAAGAAGGAAAGAAGGAAAUAUAACUAACCAACUAAAUACCUAGAAUAACAGCGUCAAAUACUCGCUCGAAUAUUGCUCGAGGGAAGAAAAAUGGAAAUUUUCGAACGUGCGGCAACCAAAGGUACAUCCAUCCCCUCCCCAAGCAGCUCAACGUGCUCCCAUCCCAGAAGAAGGGAUCAAGAGGGCAAACGUCGGCGCUUGGGUGCAUGCAUCCCUGUUAUGCAAGCAGAUAUUAUACCCCGGCCGAGAGAUCGAUCUUACAAACCCUCCCUCCCUCCCCCCAAUUGCAUUCGCAGACAAUACACACCAUCCACCCCCCCCCCCCUUCCCUUUUCUCUCCUCCCUCGACCUUUCUUAUCUCUAUCCAUUGAACCGAGCAGGAGGAACGAUGUAAUUUAUCCCGCUUAUUUGAUGAAACCCGCUUAAAACCCGCUUUUAAACCGAGGUUUCAAUCAUUUCGAGGUUGAGAAAAUGCACAAUUUCCCCUCUCCUUUCUCUCUCUCUCUCUCUCUCUCUCCCGGUUAUCAGUUUUAUAUAUAGUCAGUUUAAUCGGCACUCCUUCCAUUUCUCGGCCCAUUCCAUUGUCCUCUCGUUGCAUUCAACGGAAGGAACGGAACCGGAUCCACCAUCACCACCCACCCCCUUUCGUUUCGUGUUUUAUUAAUUUCUUUCCACGGUUAAUUCGUUUCUUUUUCUCUUUCUGUUAUUCCUUUUUCGCUUUUCGAUCGAUUGCUAUUCGAG
rnacentral:lncRNA from 11 species